rnacentral:misc_RNA from 1 species
UUAAGUUCAGCGGGUAGUCCUACCUGAUUUGAGGUCAAAAUGUCAAAAAUUGUCCAAAUAAAUAGACAGUUAGAAGCUGAACCCCAUGUAAAACUGCUUCUCGACCAUGGCGUAGAUAAUUAUCACACCAAAGACGGUCCACAAAGGUUCCGCUAAUGCAUUUAAGGAGAGCCGACUUCUUAGAAGCCCGCAACCCCCAC